UAUUGGGCUAAAUUUAACAGAGAACAAAAUCAACGCGAACGAGGGAGCUUUUAUUAGAUCGUCUUUUGUACUCCCGAACGGAAGUGAAAGCUGGCAGAUUUCCAACACACUGAGAGGUUAAUGUCUGGAAGACUUAACACAUUCUCCUAGAUAUAUGCUUAGUGCUACGUAGGUGAGGCCAGUG